rnacentral:rRNA from 1 species
UACGUAGGGGGCAAGCGUUGUCCGGAUUUAUUGGGCGUAAAGAGCGUGUAGGCGGCCAGGUAGGUCAGCUGUGAAAACUCGAGGCUCAACCUCGAGACGUCGGUUGAAACCACCUGGCUAGAGUCCGGAAGAGGAGAGUGGAAUUCCUGGUGUAGCGGUGAAAUGCGCAGAUAUCAGGAAGAACACCAAUGGCGAAGGCAGUUCUCUGGGACGGUACUGACGCUGAGACGCGAAAGCGUGGGGAGCGAACAGG